UAAAGACGCGCUGAAAACAGGUUUCUGCACCAGAUUCUUUCUUCGUUUUGGACGUCCCCUGAGAAUUCUCUUGGUUAUCUGAAAGAAGGUAGCAUGGAAUGGACUAUUUAACAACAAGACAUAGAAACAAUUCUGGUGGGAGUUCAGGAGUUUCAGGCAAAGUUGUCACAGAAACUGUAACCACGACAACCAGGCUGACAUCGC